GACGAACGCUGGCGGCGUGCUUAACACAUGCAAGUCGAACGGAAAGGCCCUGCUUUUGUGGGGUGCUCGAGUUGCGAACGGGUGAGUAACACGUGAGUAACCUGCCCUUUACUUUGGGAUAACUUCAUGAAACUGGGGCUAAUACCGGAUAGGAGCUCCUGCUGCAUGGUGGGGGUGGGAAAGUUUCGGCGGUUGGGGAUGGACUCGCGGCUUAUCAGCUUGUUGGUGGGGUAGUGGAUUACCAAGGCUUUGACGGGUAGCCGGCCUGAGAGGGUGACCGGACACACUGGGACUGAGAUACGGCCCAGACUCCUACGGGAGGCAGCAGUGGGGAAUAUUGCACAAUGGGCGGAAGCCUGACGCAGCAACGCCGCGUGCGGGAUGACGGCAUUCGGUUUGUAAACCGCUUUCGCCUGUGACGAAGCGUGAGUGACGGUAAUGGGUAAAGAAGCACCGGCUAACUACGUG
rnacentral:rRNA from 1 species